AACGAACGCUGGCGGUAUGCCUAACACAUGCAAGUCGAACGAGAGCUUCGGGACUAGUGGCUCACGGGGGCGUAGCGUGUGGGAAGCUGCCCUUAGGCACGGAAUAACUCUCCGACAGGGGUGCUAAUACCGGGAAACUUCCUCUAAUACAACAUUUAACGCCCUUGGAUGAGCCCGCGUUGUCUUAGCCAGUUGGUAGGGUAAGAGCCUACCAAGGCGACGAUCCAUAGCUGGUCUGAGGGGCUGAGCAGCCACACUGGGACUGAGACGCGGCCCAGACUCCUAGGGGAGGCAGCAGUGCGGAAUAUUGGACAAUGGGCGAAAGCCUGAUCCAGCAAUGCCGCGUGAGUGAUGAAGGCCUUAGGGUAGUAAAGCUCUUUUACACGGGACGAUAAUGACAGUACCGGGAGAAUAAGCACCGGCUAACUCCGUG
rnacentral:rRNA from 1 species